UGUUCUGAUCUGGCAACCGCGGAAGCAGGUGCGAGAGCAGUGAAGAAGGAGGAAGUAAAUAUGUCGGAAUGUCUGGUUUCUUCCUUGUGUCGAGCCUCGUUCAGAGGUGGUAAAUGUGCUGAUCUCUGAGCUCCACGAUGACAGCAGGAUAACGAGGCUCUGCUCUGCCGUCAGUGAAGAUGUCCGCUCCACAGGCCGGGUUAAGGCUUCACCCUGGGAUUAUUGCGUCGGUGGUCUUCGUCUGCGUGGUGGCGGCGGCGGCCGCCGUAUUGAUCAUACGGAAAUACUGCUUCCCAGUCAAUGAGGCCACGUACAGAUACUCGGUGCUGAGGCAGAUGGAGGACCAGCAUUCCGGGGUGACGGAGGAGGACGGCGACAGAGGGCCCUGCACAGUCGGAGAGGAAUCAGACGAGGAGCUUCUGGAGUAAAUCUGCAGCCGGGCUUUAGGUGGAUUCACUGAGAAGGAGGUUAUAGAUUCUCACCUCUCAGGGGACGCCCAUGAAUCCCCCUGAUCCUUUGCUUGAUGGAGGCUGCAGGCUAAAGUGAGAGCAGGAAAAAAAAAUAAAAACCCAAAACAACCUCGAGUGUUUAUCUGAGCAUAAAACUUAUCUAUAUUUGUUAGAAUUUAUAUUCCUUCUAACCAGGCUUUGUUGCAUUAUCUAGUGCUAAAUAUAGACUGAUGUGCUCGGUAUAAAGAAGGAAUAAUUUGAUCAGCAGUGAUACCUGAUGUCGGUCUUCCAACAUGCUGCUACAGUUGUGGUUAUUUUAGAAGAGGAGCCUGAUUGCAGAUUUUAAUGAGGAUUAAGACGCAACUAUUCGGAUUUGUUAUUUUUUACUUGAUCUUCAUAUGAAAAAAAAAAAAAAAAGCCAGGCUAAUUAACUUGGAGAAGUAAACUCUAGUUGAGUCUUUUCACAAUACGUACCUUAAAAUAAAAAACAAAAGCCCCAAAUUUCAAGAAUAUUCAUUUUGUGCAAUAACUGUUUUCAAUAGGCAGAGUGAUGCUGAUGAACAAUGCUUUUUGUCUCAACCUAAGUGCGUUUAAGUCUGAUGCAGAGCGCGUCAAUAUAAGACAUUAUCCAGGGAAUAAACCCUCUUUUCACAGCCGCUGCAUUAAGACUUGACAUUUCAGAUAUUUUAGGCCUCUAAUUCAGCGACAGCUAAUAAUAGUCAUUACAGGACUGCAGAUAUUUACCAAUUGGCCCAUUCCUUUUUGAAAAUAUUCCCUUGUUUGGGCCAACGCCAACCCAUUUAAGGUGUGCUCAUUCUUUAAUGGAUGCCGAGUGCUGAGUGAUGUUACGUGAUGUUUUUUUUUACAGUCGCGCUCGCCUCCAAAGAGGAAGAAAGUAGCAGCUCCACAUGCUCGGGAGGUGCAAGUGAGCAUCAGGAUGUGAGCAUCUAGGUGACAGGAUGCUCCUGGCAGCUCAAACUGAUUAAUAGAUAAUCAGAAAUCAGUAUGGUUUCUCUUUAAUUGUUAUUUGUGUGAUCAACAAAUUAAGCUGUGAAGCCAGUCUGUUGUCACCCAUCUCUUCUUGUUAAGAUUUCUUAUUUCAGGGUUUCCAGGCACUUUGUGGAAAGCGGUUGCUAAUGUCGGCCGUGAUGGUGCUUAACUCACACGGAAAUACGUUUCCCAUUAAAUAUGUUUAACCUGUACAUUGACUCAAGUGUGAUGAAUGAAUACGAGUGAAUAUAUGCUUUAUUAUAGGGUUCAAAGUCAUUACCGCUUCUGAAUGCCAGGUGAAGGAUCUGUGAAGAGCCGUGUGUUGAAAAUCUGUCUUAUGGCUGUUCCAUUAACCCAUAAACACUUUCUGCAAUUGAACCAAAUGCAAUCAAACACGAGUGCUUGAAGCUCACGGUGAUGUGCUGCUUUCUGAAUGCUUAAAUGUUCCCUGUGAUUGGUGAAUGAUAGACCACAAUGACCCUCUGCUGGUUGUCUUUAGUAUUACACCUUGAAUUUCAAGACAUGAUUACUCAACCAUGAACAGUGCUCUCACUAAAAUAUUGAGAACUGAAAGAUGUGACCCUGAGACGCUGUUGAAGGAUGUAUCGAAGAAUUAAGACGUUUAAGUCCCCAUAAAGAUACACAUCAUGUUAAUUUACACAAUCUUACACUGUAGUGUAAAGGUGGCCAAAGUCAUGCAUAUUUUACCAUAAUGAGUUUCAAUAAAAUAAUGGACUUUAGUUCUGUUUCAAUAUUCUCUGUACAUUAUUUAGUGCAAUGCAGUGUCAUUUUUUAUACAGCUAAAGAAAAUAUGUCUUUCUGGACUCAUUGGGUACCUGUUUAAACUUACAGCUGUUUCAGUUUGCAGAUGUUCAACCUGCAGUGUUUCAUAUUUCGAGGAGUUAAAACUCAAGAUUCAGGUGCUACCUUGUUGAGCAAAUGGGCCAAACUGUUGUUUUAAUAAUUUAAUAACUUUACUAAUACCACAAUUAGUUUUUUGAACCAAUCAUGCUUAGUUUAGCAGGAAAUGCAAAUAAAUGCGUAUGUUAACA
ensembl:lncRNA